rnacentral:rRNA from 1 species
AGAGUUUGAUCAUGGCUCAGGACGAACGCUGACGGCGCGCCUAACACAUGCAAGUCGAGCGAGAGAGAGGGAGCUUGCUUCCUCGAUCGAGUGGCGAACGGGUGAGUAACGCGUGAGGAACCUGCCUCAAAGAGGGGGACAACAGUUGGAAACGACUGCUAAUACCGCAUAAGCCCACGGCUCGGCAUCGAGCAGAGGGAAAAGGAGCAAUCCGCUUUGAGAUGGCCUCGCGUCCGAUUAGCUAGUUGGUGAGGUAACGGCCCACCAAGGCGACGAUCGGUAGCCGGACUGAGAGGUUGAACGGCCACAUUGGGACUGAGACACGGCCCAGACUCCUACGGGAGGCAGCA